AUCGCUUCUCGGCCUUUGGUUCAGAUCAAGUGUAGUAUCUGUUUUUAUCAGUUUUUUUUAAUCUGUCUCAUCCCCUAUCCAGGGACCAAAUAUUAAAUGGAUUUUUGGGAACGGGGGCAGAUUUCGAAGCUGGCUUUGUCACCUUGUGCUUUCACCCGAUUUGACAGUUUCUUUUGGUAUGGCGUACCAAGA